AUCCCUUCGCAGUGGCAGUAUCAGCCCAUGAGGUCAAUCCGAGGCGUGAUUGGCUGCUAGUUGAAAACUUUGCACUAAUUCCCGCCUUGACGACCUGAAAUAUAGUCGCAAUGGUACUUUUGAUGGUCUCUAUGGAGA